UAACGCAGCGAAAGCUGUGCUAAUACCGCAUACGAUCUAUGGAUGAAAGCGGGGGACCGAAAGGCCUCGCGCGAUUGGAGCGGCCGAUGUCAGAUUAGCUAGUUGGUGGGGUAAAGGCCCACCAAGGCGACGAUCUGUAGCUGGUCUGAGAGGACGACCAGCCACACUGGGACUGAGACACGGCCCAGACUCCUACGGGAGGCAGCAGUGGGGAAUUUUGGACAAUGGGCGCAAGCCUGAUCCAGCAAUGCCGCGUGCAGGAAGAAGGCCUUCGGGUUGUAAACUGCUUUUGUACGGAACGAAACGGUCCGGGUUAAUACCCUGGGCUAAUGACGGUACCGUAAGAAUAAGCACCGGCUAACUACGUGCCAGCAGCCGCGGUAAUACGUAGGGUGCAAGCGUUAAUCGGAAUUACUGGGCGUAAAGCGUGCGCAGGCGGUUUUGUAAGACAGGCGUGAAAUCCCCGGGCUCAACCUGGGAAUGGCGCUUGUGACUGUAAAGCUAGAGUGCGGCAGAGGGGGAUGGAAUUCCGCGUGUAGCAGUGAAAUGCGUAGAUAUGCGGAGGAACACCGAUGGCGAAGGCAAUCCCCUGGGCCUGCACUGACGCUCAUGCACGAAAGCGUGGGGAGCAAACAGGAUUAGAUACCCU
rnacentral:rRNA from 1 species